AACCCAUGUUGAGGACACUUCCGCAAGAGCUUCUUGAACCUAUCCCAUGUCUCCGAAAGAGACUCCAAUUCUGUUUGCACAAAAGAAGAUAUUUCAUUCCUAAGCUU